UACUUCUUUUUUUACUGUGCUAACAUGAAAAAAACGGGCCAUCUUCACAAAGCUUAUUGUCUCACCGCUAAAUGGACCUCAAGGUUUUGUUUUUCGUGUCUCUUCUAAAAUCGUUCGAUAAGGCUGAGAACAGCUUUUACAGAAAAAAAAUUACAAAGAUUA